GCUCAGAACGAACGCUGGCGGCAGGCUUAACACAUGCAAGUCGAGCGCCCCGCAAGGGGAGCGGCAGACGGGUGAGUAACGCGUGGGAAUCUACCCUUGACUACGGAAUAACGCAGGGAAACUUGUGCUAAUACCGUAUGUGUCCUUCGGGAGAAAGAUUUAUCGGUCAAGGAUGAGCCCGCGUUGGAUUAGCUAGUUGGUGGGGUAAAGGCCUACCAAGGCGACGAUCCAUAGCUGGUCUGAGAGGAUGAUCAGCCACAUUGGGACUGAGACACGGCCCAAACUCCUACGGGAGGCAGCAGUGGGGAAUAUUGGACAAUGGGCGCAAGCCUGAUCCAGCCAUGCCGCGUGAGUGAUGAAGGCCCUAGGGUUGUAAAGCU
rnacentral:rRNA from 1 species